GAUCUAUUUUUUAACUGAUCUAUUUGUUUAUAUUUAUUAACUUAUAUUUUUCUACAGGAAGUAUAAUCCAAAUUUAGAUCCGAUCUAUUAGUAUUUUUUUUGUCCAGUUUAGAUGUAAUCUGAUAUUUUUUCUCUUAGGUGCACUUGUUUUUUUUAUCCAACUUUGGUUCUGCGGUGGACUUGUUCUUUGCGGGCAACUUUUUUUACCCGAGUACACGCUGCCCCGCCGAGGACGAAGAUGGACAGAUGGUGGCGCAUGCAUGGAGCACAUGUGAAACCGUCGCCUGAAUCCGGCAUCUGAAGCGCAGGAAUCGUGACCGUGUAAACGAUUCUCUUGGGAGCAUUUUAGUUGUACAUAGAGAGAGUUACAUGAGACAUACAUGAG
rnacentral:lncRNA from 1 species